GAUGAAGAACGUAGUGAAAUGCGAUAAGUAAUGUGAAUUGCAGAAUUCAGUGAAUCAUCGAAUCUUUGAACGCACCUUGCGCCCUUUGGCCAUUCCGAAGGGCAUGCCUGUUUGAGUAUCAUGAACACCUCAACUCUCAUGGCUUGCCAUGAUGAGCUUGGACUUUGGGGGUCUUGCUGGCCUGUGGUCGGCUCCUCUCAAAUGAAUCAGCUUGCCAGUGUUUGGUGGCAUCACAAGUGUGAUAACUAUCUGCGCUCGUGGUUUCCAUCAGAUAACCUCCAGUGAUGGAGGUUCGCUGGAGCUCAUAAAUGUCUCUCCUAAGCGAGGACAGCUCUUUUAAUGUUUGAUCUCAAAUCAGGUAGGACUACCCGCUGAACUUAAGCAUAUCAAUAAGCGGAGGA
rnacentral:misc_RNA from 1 species